rnacentral:misc_RNA from 1 species
GUUUGGGAAUAUUUGGUUCAAGUUUUGUGUUGGAAGUGUGGGUGAUUGAGAGCCUGUGUCUUGAUUUAUCAUGGCAAUCACUAUCCAGGGUGGUGGGUGGUUGAGAGCCUGUGUCUUGAUUUGUUAUGGAAAUCACUAUGCUAUAUGGAACUGUGUUAAAUGAGGAUUGCUGUUACUUGUCUUUGUAAUUUUGUCUUGGUUGUCUUUGUAAUUUUGUCUUGGCUAAUAGCAUUUUAACUCACUUUUGGGUUUCAA